UACGGGGGGGGGCAAGCGUUUGUUCGGAAUUACUGGGCGUAAAGGGCGCGUAGGCGGUUGGAUAAGUCAGCUGUGAAAACCACGGGCUUAACUCGUGGCCUGCAGUUGAGACUGUCUGGCUUGAGUGUGGGAGAGGAGAGUGGAAUUCCUGGUGUAGCGGUGAAAUGCGUAGAUAUCUGGAGGAACACCGGUGGCGAAGGCGGCAUCCUGGACCAAUUCUGACGCUGAGGAGCGAAAGCCAGGGGAGCAAACGGG
rnacentral:rRNA from 1 species